GAUGAACGCUGACAGAAUGCUUAACACAUGCAAGUCAACUUGAACUUCGGUUUGGGUGGCGGACGGGUGAGUAACGCGUAAAGAACUUGCCUCACAGAUAGGGACAACAUUUGGAAACGAAUGCUAAUACCUGAUAUUAUGAUUAUAUGGCAUCGUAUAAUUAUGAAAGCUAUAUGCGCUGUGAGAGAGCUUUGCGUCCCAUUAGCUAGUUGGAGAGGUAACGGCUCACCAAGGCGAUGAUGGGUAGCCGGCCUGAGAGGGUGAUCGGCCGCAAGGGGACUGAGACACGGCCCUUACUCCUACGGGAGGCAGCAGUGGGGAAUAUUGGACAAUGGACCAAGAGUCUGAUCCAGCAAUUCUGUGUGCACGAUGAAGUUUUUCGGAAUGUAAAGUGCUUUCAGUUGGGAAGAAAAAAAUGACGGUACCAACAGAAGAAGUGACGGCUAAAUACGUG
rnacentral:rRNA from 1 species